rnacentral:misc_RNA from 1 species
GAAAUGCGAUAAGUAAUGUGAAUUGCAGAAUUCAGUGAAUCAUCGAAUCUUUGAACGCACAUUGCGCCCAUUAGUAUUCUAGUGGGCAUGCCUGUUCGAGCGUCAUUUCAACCCUUAAGCCUAGCUUAGUGUUGGGAGACUGCCUAAUACGCAGCUCCUCAAAACCAGUGGCAGAGUUUUUACGUACUCUGAGCGCAGUAAUUCUAUUCUCGCUUUUGAACACGUCUAGACGAUAGCCAAAAACCGCUUGCCUCGGCAGCACUUUUUAAUGGUUGACCUCGGAUCAGGUAGGAAUACCCGCUGAACUUAA